CACGUAGGGUGCGAGCGUUGUCCGGAAUUAUUGGGCGUAAAGAGCUCGUAGGCGGUGUGUCGCGUCGGCCGUGAAAACCUGCAGCUUAACUGUGGGCUUGCGGUCGAUACGGGCAUCACUGGAGUUCGGCAGGGGAGACUGGAAUUCCUGGUGUAGCAGUGAAAUGCGUAGAUAUCAGGAGGAAUACCGAUGGCGAAGGCAGGUCUCUGGGCUAUAACUGACGCUCAUGCACGAAAGCGUGGGGAGCAAACAGG
rnacentral:rRNA from 1 species